UUCCUCGGUUGUGCUUUUGGAUGUUAUUACAGAUUGAACAAUCUUUCAGUAGCUAGUGUCUUCACUACCUAUUACAGAUUUUAAAAAUCUUAUGCUGCAAGACUUGUUAGACAGCAACCUUGGCAGAUGCAUGUCUUCUAUCCCUUUGCCCAUUUCAAAAGUAACAUUGUGGUCUAGUGGUCAAUGAAGUGGGUGGGUGGGGGGAGGGGUGGGGGAGGAGAACUAUGAGGUCUCAGGUUCAAAUUUCAGCUCAGGUAGAAAAUGCCAGGUGAUUUCUUCUCAUCUGCCUAAGUCUUGGGUGGUAGAAUUAACCGGUCGGCCGGUACCCAUGCUGGAGGAAGCAGGCACCCUGUGAAAUAGUUGAGGUGUGUGCAAGCUGGCCCUGACACCACCACCAUAAAAAAAGGAACAGUAAAAUGUCCAUGAAUAUAAAUACUGCUUUGUGCCCCUAGGGCGUUGGUGGUUGGAGCGCAAUAUGUGAGUGUGGAUUAGGAGCACCUCAUGGACUAGAACCUUCUAGAACCUUAGCACAAACAAAAGCCUGGUAUUAAGUGGAGAAGGGUAGAUGAGUGGGUUCAUUAUCCACCAAGUUUCAAACCAUGCACCACUGACCCUCGAGAAUUUCUCGAUCGUAAAAAAAAAACAAUAAAUAAAUACAGAUGAAGUGUGAUUCAAAUUCAUACUGACACUCAUCUUUGAAAGUUGAUAUCGCGGAACACCAGAGUUUCUAAUACGAUUACUAUGGGACCUGAUAAGUGAUGUACAAUAAGAUGUUUCAAGAGGUAUAUAAUAGUGGAUAUAGUUGUUUUUAUCAUGUUUGUAUCUUCUAGUCAGGAAUAUAGAUUGAAGAUGAUAUAUAUCAUUACUUGUUUUUUUUUUUUUUUUAAUAACUGUCCUCUGCAAGCUGGAUCUUAGUCCAACUUCUUUGUGCUCUCCUCUUUUGAUUGAAUGCAAUUUCUACAAAUAAGAUCGAGUAGGAAAAUGAUGCUAUAUCAAGAUAGGAAGAAGCAAUUGACGAUCACAGAUAGGGAGGUUGUAAGCUACUAAACGUACGGUAAAAUCAAUAUCAGGUUGAAUAGAUAAAGGGAUCUCUGACCACUUAUUAUCAUAUGACAAUAUAGGUUGAGCAUAGAACACAUAAGAGUCAAUGUGCAUGAGGUGUAAACGUCAAUCUCAAGUCCUCUUGAAAAGGUUUAGCUUAAGAGAGGUCGUUUGCUUUCUUUGCCUUCUCUUGAGAUGCCUUCUUCCCAAAAACCAACUAAGACUUCUUAAUUGGUUAGUUGUAAAUAAAACCGGGAAGAAUUUAACAUAAGGCAGACAUUUGCUUUCUAUGCUUUGCUUUGAGACAUAAUCAUUCCAGAGAGUCAGAGACCAAAACAGACUUCUUUAUUGGCUAACCAUAAAUACUCCCAUGGCUGGGCUUGCCUCGCUGUAGGUUGGCCUUUUUGUUUGACUAAGUAGUAUUUUACUAGUGCAGUAGUGUAUAUGUUGCGGUUAGCUAUGAUAUACUCAGCUUUCUUCUUUAGUAGGUUCAUUUACAAUAUGUGGCAGUGCUUUCUUGAAAAUUCAUCUCAAACCUGUUAGGUGGUCUAUUUGUUCGUGUUUUAAAUGCAUCUUCAAUAUGUUCAAACAUGUUAAUUACUUAUAUGAUGUGUUGAAUUAUUUGCGGUUUAAAUCUAGGCUAGCUUUGGGCCCUAGGGCUUUGGUCUAAUGGUAACUGGUAAGAGCACAACUUGUGAUGUGUGGGUUAGGCACAUGUUACGGGUUUGAACCCUGCCACGGAUAAAAGCUUGGUGUGUAAAUGAAGAAAGGGUAGAGCGGCUCAUCAUCCACCGAGAAAGAUUGGUGUGUAAAUGAAGAAAGGGUAGAGCGGCUCAUCAUCCACUGAGUUUUGAACCGUGUGCCACAAGCCCUCGUUGGUUUAACCGUUAUCAAAAAAAAAAGUCUAGGCUAGGUUUGGCAGAUACUUCCACGAUUUGACUUUUACUGCAGUCAUCAUGUGAUCUCUAUUUCGUUCUUCUCAACUUUCCUGUAUUGUAUUUGUAGUUUGGUAGACAAAUAAAAAUUUGACAUUAGGUAUACCAACAAAACACAUUCGAUGGAAAGUGUAAAUUGCAUACGUUGAGGAUAAAGUUAGAGAAGGUCGCUUGAGAUGCUUUUCCUUUAUCCUAUGUAGACCUCCUAACUAUGUUUGUGCUUAGGUACGACAUGACGUUAUGAUUGUUGAAGGUGUUAGAACAGAACAAGAUAGAUCUAAGUUACAUGGAGAGAAGUUGUCUCAAAAGACCUUCAAUCUUUUGAAAUUAUGCGGACUUAACUAACAAGUCGAAUGAAAGCAAAGGACUUAUAUACAUAAUAUCAACUAGUUGGAAUUAAGAAUUGCUUGUUAUUGGAACACCUGAGGUUUGUAUGUUUUAGUUUGAUUAGAGGUUUGUAUGUCAGUUCAAGGAUGAGUUUAAGAUUUGGUAUUGAGUGUUGGAAUGAAAUGAGACCAAAUAGUGGAAUAGAUAUUGAGGAUUCUUGUAAACGACUCCAAUUAGUUUGACAUUGAGAUAUAUUUGUUUGUUGAUAUUCCAGAGAAUAGUAUAUAUUUUUCUUUAACAAUGGCGUCUGCCAAACUUGGUUCGAUAGAUGGUAAACUUAUAAGGUUUACCGAAGAGCAGACACUCAACUUCUUUGAGCAGAGAUGUUAGCUUAGCUGAACUUUUUGUGUGAGUCGUUCUUGAUGAGGUUCAUCUCAGCUGUCAUUAGUUGUUAAUCAUUGGGCAACAUAUUGCAUUCAGUUUUUGAUUUAAGCUGGUUCUGUGAUUAGAAAAAAAAAACUGGUUUUAUUCAAACACUGAUGCACAUGCAG